GUAGGUGGCAAGCGUUGUCCGGAAUUAUUGGGGCGUAAAGCGCGCGCAGGCGGUUCUUUAAGUCUGAUGUGAAAGCCCACGGGCUCAACCGUGGAGGGUCAUUGGAAACUGGAGAACUUGAGUACAGAAGAGGAAAGCGGAAUUCCACGUGUAGCGGUGAAAUGCGUAGAGAUGUGGAGGAACACCAGUGGCGAAGGCGGCUUUCUGGUCUGUAACUGACGCUGAGGCGCGAAAGCGUGGGGAGCAUACAGGAUUAGAUACCCUGGUAGUCCACGCCGUAAACGAUGAGUGCUAAGUGUUAGGGGGUUUCCGCCCCUUAGUGCUGCAGCUAACGCAUUAAGCACUCCGCCUGGGGAGUACGGCCGCAAAGGCUG
rnacentral:rRNA from 1 species